GCCUACGGCCAUACCACCCUGAAAGCGCCCAAUCUCGUCUGAUCUCGGAAGCUAAGCAGGGACGGGCUUGGUUAGUGCCUGGAUGGGAGACCGCCUGGGAUACCAGUAGAAGCGGCU
rnacentral:rRNA from 1 species